rnacentral:rRNA from 1 species
CCUACGGGUGGCAGCAGUGGGGAAUAUUGCACAAUGGGGGAAACCCUGAUGCAGCGACGCCGCGUGAGUGAAGAAGUAUUUCGGUAUGUAAAGCUCUGUCAGCAGGGAAGAAAAUGACGGUACCUGACCAAGAAGCCCCGGCUAACUACGUGCCAGCAGCCGCGGUAAUACGUAGGGGGCAAGCGUUAUCCGGAUUUACUGGGUGUAAAGGGAGCGUAGACGGCAGGGCAAGUCUGGAGUGAAAGGCGGGGGCCCAACCCCCGUGCUGCUCUGGAAACUGCCAGGCUGGAGUGCAGGAGAGGUAAGCGGAAUGCGUGGUGUAGCGGUGAAAUGCGUAGAGAUGAGGAGGAACACCGGUGGCGAAGGCGGCAUACGGGUGUAUAACUGACGUUGAGGCUCGAAAGCGUGGGUAUCAAACAGGAUUAGAUACCCGGGUAGUC